GAUGAACGCUGGCGGCGUGCCUAAUACAUGCAAGUCGAGCGAACGGACGAGAAGCUUGCUUCUCUGAUGUUAGCGGCGGACGGGUGAGUAACACGUGGAUAACCUACCUAUAAGACUGGGAUAACUUCGGGAAACCGGAGCUAAUACCGGAUGAUAUUUUGAACCGCAUGGUUCAAAAGUGAAAGACGGUCUUGCUGUCACUUAUAGAUGGAUCCGCGCUGCAUUAGCUAGUUGGUAAGGUAACGGCUUACCAAGGCAACGAUGCAUAGCCGACCUGAGAGGGUGAUCGGCCACACUGGAACUGAGACACGGUCCAGACUCCUACGGGAGGCAGCAGUAGGGAAUCUUCCGCAGUGGGCGAAAGCCUGACGGAGCAACGCCGCGUGAGUGAUGAAGGUCUUCGGAUCGUAAAACUCUGUUAUUAGGGAAGAACAUAUGUGUAAGUACUGUGCACAUCUUGACGGUACCUAAUCAGAAAGCCACGGCUAACUACGUG
rnacentral:rRNA from 1 species